CUUGACUCUGCUCUUUAGUUAAUGGUCAUUCAUCUGACUCAGGCCACCCAUUGAAUAUCAAAAAGGCGGAAAGGGGGAUUUCUUUGAUAAGCAAGGAACGACUCUACAAGGGCUUGAUUCUCUCUUGACAAUAUUUGGUGAUCUGGCCCAAUAAGCUUCCCGCCGAAACGAACUCCAUCUUCAUUGCACUCACUGAAAAGAAGAAAAAGAAGAGGUGCUGAAAGCCGAUCCACAUUUCCACUUAUUUUGGAUUGAGCUACACGAAGGAAGGAAGUUCUCAGUAGUUCUUAUGCUUCCUGGAGAUAUUCCCCUGCUUGUGCUUCAGAAAAAGAACAGGUUGAAGUCCUUCGAGUUAGAGUUAGAAGAGAAGCGGGGCAGAUUCCAUCCACUUUUCCCUGAGAGAAUGGAACUGAAAGAUUGUUUUAUAGGAAACACGGAUAUGCUGUGCUAAGCUCGGUCUUACGUAACUUAUGGACUCGCAUAUUAUGCUCCUCCGCAGUGAAGCCCUAACUAACCCCAAUAAGCUAAUGCCAGUUGAAGCAGCUAUUUCCUAUGUUGUCUUUGCUGUAUGGAAAGGAAAGAAUAUCUAGAUAGAAAGAGAAGCGCACUACACUCCUAAGUUCAAGUCAAAGAACAGUAUAAUAAUCAUAAUCAGAAUUCUAAGAGACUCAAUGCUCGGGGAAUAGUAUAAUAAUCAUAAUAAUACUAAUAAUAGACUAAAUGCUCAACUGCUGAAGCGCGAACUCCAAUGAAUUCUCUUAUGCUGCUCUGAAGUCCACUUCUUGUCCGUUGCUGGAACUCAACUACUUGUCUGUUCCCUUGCUUUCGUACUUUACUAAUUGCCCCUCCCCUGCCAGUUUCAAAUGCAAAUACGGAGCUUCUUUCUCUAAUUCUCAUUGACUUCACAAAAGGAAAAGAAUCCAGAAUUGCCUCUACUUUGACUCGGUGCAAGCGGUGCAAAACUCAGUGCUGAGCAAGACUCAGUGCUUCAGUGAAAUUCAAAUCAAUCCCUCGGGGCGCAAAGAUGGUUUUUCAUUACUUGUUGAGUCAAGUCAAACAGGAAUCUCUCGAGUACCUUUAUACUAUUAUGUGAAGUCAAACCCUAAACAAUAACUUCUGAUGCAUCGGAUUCUCUUUCUUCGGCUUUAGAUCCUGCUCUACUAUCUGUAUCCAUCCUGCUCUACUAUCUGUAUCUUUAGGCUAAUACUCUUGGCUUGAGUUUCCGUUCCCUAAAAGCGGGGCGGGGUUUCCGUGUUUUUAUUCAAAUAUCUUAUAGGAUGGCGAUAUUCUUUAGAGCCAGAGAACAUGUAAGCAGGUAGAGCAAAGCCAGCAGUAAACAGUUGGUAAGCAGUGUGCCCCAAGGCAGAAUGGAGGAAGCUGUGAGGAAGCAGAGCAAGCACAACAGCCAAAAGAAUGGAGUACAAAUGUCUAGAGUAAGGCCCACUGAGCGCAGCGCAAAGUUAAUAAGUCGUCUAUCAGAGGUAAGUAAUAAGAAUGGAGUACAAAUGUCUAGAGUAAGGCCCACUGAGGCUGAAGUUAAUAAGUCUCGUACACAAAGGUAAGGGUUCCUCAAUUCUUGUUGCACUCAAUGCCAUUCUUCCUGCUGUUUGGUUUAAGUCCGUGGGGUAAUAGAAUAGCUUGACCCUCAUUUAAAGAAAAGAAGGUUUACCCAUAUUUGAUUGAAACGACUCGAAUAGCUUAUGUACACCGCGCUUAAUAAGUUAGGGCAAAUACGGCUUGAACUGAAUCUUUCUAUUAAGUAGAAGGCCUUGACACCUCUUUCAAAAAACCACCUCCUUUUGUUUUGCCCCGAUUCACUCCAGCUAGAAGAUACUGCUCUAUUAUGUGGGCAUGAGAUUAUAGAUUCGCGCUUAUGCAGAGGAUUCCACCUGUUUUCGUAGAGCUAAAGUGAGUUCUUUACCUAUUUGAAGUAAUGGAACUGCUUAUCCAGUCAUCACCGCUUACGCUCUCCGGGUUCCUAUGGUAAUCUUUCUUUCUUUCUUUUUAAGAACUACCUAAAAUAGACUUGCUCUUGGCAACGAAGUGAGACAAUGACCAAUUUACCCAAGAUAGGAUUCGUACACUGUGAAGCUACCUCAGGAAGCUACCUUACGACCGAGGUUUAUAUGGGCUUAAGAGAAGCUAUGGGGCAAUUCCAAUUAUCACCAGUGUAAGUUCCAGCUUUAUCCGUCUGAGAGGUGCGUGCUUAUACUAGAUUCUAAUUCAAUACGUGAACAGGAAGGCAGCUUAAGGUGUAGAGAGGAUUCCCAGAAGGCAGCUUAAGGUGUAGAGAGGAUUCCCGGGUUUUAUCAGUGAGUGAGAGAAGCGAAACAUAUACUCUAUAUAAGUUAGUAAACAUCAUUAUUCCAUUCCGUUAACUUCAUUAAGCGCUUUCACUCUAUUGUCUCUUGCUUGCAUCGCUGAAAAGAAUGGAAAUGGAACUCACUUUAGCACUGGGAAUUGAGGAAAGCAGCUCAUCUAACUGGCAGGAAUUGAGAAGUGAACGAACCAGGAAAAGAUCUUAGCGCAGAAGCAUCUGAUCUUAGCGCAAAAGCUUUCUAAGGAGUAGGGACAGGUGAGAAAGUAGAAGCCAUAUCCGGAUCCGGAACAGGAGAAACAGUAGUUUGAGAAGAAUCCGUGAAGGUAAGCUAUGUCUUUACUUGGCUUGGAUCUAUUAAGCGAAGAUCUUUCGAAUCGAAAUCAGAAUCUUAUGCAUUAGAAAGAGUAGAAGGAUAAGGAUAGGGGAAAGAACAGAGCCAGCUGUAAGCAGUAUGAGGGGAACAAAACAAGUAAACAAAAGGACAGAGGCAGAGGGUUCCGCGAGUGUAAUCAUUGAGAUUGAGAGAGGGUUGACAGCUAGUGUUAAGCAAUGCUAGUUUAGAUGGAAUGCUCUUGUUGUUGGCGAAAGAUCUGAACUCGUUAAGUCUAGGAAAGUUGCUCCAGUGCGUGCGGUAUCAAGUAUUGUUCCCCGAACUAAGGAGUAGAAGAUAGGCCCUAACAGUAUUAGUAGUCUGAGUGUCGGUAGGCAAUAAAGUAAUAAAGAGAGGUCGGGCCCUUACCUUAUUGUAAGUUCAGGCGCUAAGCAAGACAAGAGAAAGAGACGAGAGAAAGAUGUUGUUCAAGCGAGAAGAAGCAUCUGCUUUAUAAGGAUCAUAAUUAGGGGGUGAGCUCGGUGUUGUCGGUGGAAAGAGAACUGUAGUGCCGAACACAAAACCGGACUUUCAAUCUUGAAUAAUGGGGGCGCCAUCCCUUGUUGACAGAGGAGAGCCUGUAGUGGGCGAUAUUGUAGUUUCAAUCUGACUUAUGAGUUUCGAACGGAGGGUAGGCGAUAAGGGGAGCCUUAGGUUAGCAAGAAAGAGGUGGGGGAGCCUCAUUCAGAUAUCAAAGAAAGUAUCAAACUCAUUGAGAAUUGUUUGGCUCACCUGCACAGGAUUCAAAGAUCGGAAUAAAGUACUUGUUUUGAGGCGAGGUCGGCAAGGAAAGAAACUCAAUCAGAAGGAGCUAGAGCACCAACCCGAUCCUUUACUGAAGUACUUAUAGCUUAGCUUCCUUUCCUGACUUUUCAUCAUCUACUGAUGUAUCUGCUCUAACUGCUUCCUUUGGCACUGGUGAUUCUCUUUAGAAACGGACUUAUACUUACUUGCCUAGUAGCUACUUAUAUUACUUGUUGCUAUAGAGCGGUUAAAAGAUCUGACUUUGUUUCAAUUGAAAGAGCCAUAGAGGGUGAAAUGUUUUAUAAGAUUCAAGAGUAUAUGCCCCACUAAUAGAAUUUCGAAAUAAGAUAUAUAAGAUAUAUGUAUUAGAUCUGCCAGGCGAGUAGGAGCGGGAUCGGGGUUGUUGGCGAUGAGAAUGAAUCAGUGCUUUGACUAUAAUUGAAGUUGACCAUGGCUUUCCCCUAUGGCAAAUUCUUAUGUUCCUGCCUCGGAUCCGCCAAGCUACUUAGACAGAGUGGCUAAAGGGUUAGUGGCUAAAGAGAGAGUUUGAUCCGCUGGACUGGAUCAAGGUCAUCUGCAGGAUCAAGAAAGAAAAAAGAUGCUUGCUGUGCGAGUUAAGUAAACAAGAGAAGAAUCCGUUCUGGUUUAAUCCUGAGUUUCAUCAGUUAUCCUUUACUUUUUGAAAAAAGAUAGAAUGAAUUUGAUAUUGAUAGGGUUUUCUUCCUUGGACCUCGAACUGGCAAAGUAAUUGAGUGAAAGGCUUUACCGAGGUUACUUAGAAGCCUGUUUUCCCUGCCCUGCCCUCUUGCCAAGUGAAGUGGGUGGUGGUGCUCUUAACUAACCUAGUGAUAAAGAUAAGAUGUAAACCUUGAGGGGGGCUAAGCAAGAAGAGGAGUGCUGGGCGUGGACAUGACCCGCAUACAAUUUACCAUUAAAGUGAAUACGCUCGUGAGAGAUCAAUUGGUGCUGAUCCAACACCUUAGAAGCAACCACAUAGAUCUUAAGAUUAUCGGACACUUUGAUAUAACCAGAAUCACCCUGCAAAAGAGAAUUAGCCAAAAGAUGGGCAGCAUUUUGAUGAUCUGCGGGGCUUUUAGAAGAAUGUAAUCUGACUUUAUUAUAUCAAAUCUUCAGGAUAAAGUUCGGAAGGAAAGAGGUUGAUCUUCGCCUUGAAAACAUCCACUUUUCAUUCAACUAGGAGGUUGGUUCAGAGCACAGGGACAGGGUUGGCUAUCUCUUGCUCGACUUUCUUUCUUUAGAAAUAAUAAUAAUCAAAAGACAGAUGAAACUACUCUACUAUUUGUUGGGGCUGUAAACCUGGACUCGUUUGCAUCAGACAAGCCAACUACGUAAGGCCAAGCCGGCAAGCUACUUAUAAUGGCCAAGCUACGGGCCAAGCAACGACUAGACAAGUGUUCAUGGUGUCAGGAGCAGUUUACCGGUAGCAGACUUUAGCCCGAGAUACCUGAUACCUGCCCAUCAUGCUUUCGCCCGAGAUACCCGCGAGAGUUGCUUAGGGAAGUUCCAAGACAUACGAGUACAGAUAAGACAGGCUUUGUGUGUUUUUGAGUGCUAGUGUUCGGACAGCUUUCCUGGCACCUACCGAUACGCCUGGCACCCGAAGGCAUAGAGAGUCUUGAACAAAUGAAUAUAUAUUAAUGAGCUAUGAGCUAGUCCUGUAUUUGCUAGCUGGAGUUUCCUUUCCUCGCACCCAAGUCGACAAGUUAAGUUGGGGUAAGAGAAGAAGCGGUGGCUUUACUUUAGUUCUCGUAUAUGUAAGCAGUUAGCGGGUCAAUCUUGCUUAUUAGUGAAAGUCUCCUAUUAGUAAGGAUGGCUGCUGGUGACAAAACUUCUUUCGUCCAUCUCCGCACUACAUAUCGGAAAAGCAUUGGCAUUAUUAUCUUAUUGUUGAGCUCCGGCACCAGAUGCUACCUAAGAAUGAUUUUCUCACAUAGGCUUUUGUACUGAUCAGCUUGGUUGAGUUACUAUUGGCUAAGGAAAAACCUCGUUACCUAGAUCGGAAUGUGUAAUUGGCUCUACGCAGCUCCCCGCUUCCUUACUUCGACCUCCGUCCCAUAACCGAUAGAAGAGAUAGGAUUUCGUAGAUGAAUUCGCUUUCAAACAGGUUGUCUUAAAGGAUAGGAGGAACUCUUUCACUUAUUUGUAUGGGGCUUAAAUGCCUUAGCCAAAGUCAACUACUCCUUUAUAAGUUAACUAGACUCCAAUUUGCUUUGCCCAUUCUUUAUCGAUUGAAGGCAGAAGAAGAGAACUCCAACCUGAGGGAUAAGAGAAACCAGAGGGAUAAGAGAAAAGAAAAGAGUACCACCAAUAGGUAUGAACUACUAGUAAACAUAUACUAAAGAGACUUUGCUCACCAAUGGAACUAGAUCGCUUUCCUAUCUAUUAAUUCGAACUUGACACUUUCUUUGGGUUAUCUGCGCUUCACUUUUCCAUGUAUUUCUCCUCGGGCUUUCGAUAGGGUAUGGAUUAAUGUGGUCUGUCUAUGGGCGGUCCCCUGAAAUGGGUAUUCCCACGCUGUCCAUUAUGAUAGAGUGGAAAGAGAAACACCAAUUCCCAUCUUGGUGCUCACACUACAGGCCAACUUGUCGGGAUGGCAGGAAAGACAGAAAGGAAAAGACAGAAAUCCAAAUCACCUAAUUACUGAUGUCUUCUGCAAGACUUGGCAAUUCUUCCGCUUUAGAUCAGAGCCUCAUCAGGUUAAUUACUAGGAAAAAAGAACGAAGAGAGAGAUCACGUGGUUCGGAUGAAGCAAAAUAGAGACACAGCCCUUACGGCUAUAUACUCAAACCUGACACCAUUCCAGGGAGAUUGAUAUUUACACUAAAACGAACGAGCCGAGCUCCCCACACAUUUAGGGCCCCAAUCAAUGGAUUAUGGAGAAAAUGAAUAUACUGUAAAAGAAGAAAAGAGCCAAGCCUUAGUGCCCGAAGAUAUAGGAUACAUGAUUAGGGAAGCCGCAGAUGUUUUAAAGCAUUCUUUGUCAAAAGAUAGACAUGAGAUGAGUUUGCGCUUCCUAUACACACACUUGCAUAUGAGAAUUGUACUUUCUUCAUUCAUUCUGCUCGUGAAGAAAUGGUAACCUCAGCUCUAUUGCUAAAGUUUUCCCCAGCUGCCCCUCAUAAUCCAUUAAUAUAAGAAAGAAUAUAUUGGUUUAAUACACACAGUAACAAAUCUAAAGAAAUCAGUGGUUUAGGAGCGUUAUCAAGAUUCCCAUUUCUGAGUUUAGACGAAUAAGUAACCCGACUUUCAAAUGUGAAAGAGUCUUGCCAUGUCAAUAAAUAUCUCAGGCAAUGGCCCUGCUUCAUCUCUUACUUGUUGAUAAAGCUUAAUAUAAAUAGGGGAAUCCUGCUUCCUUCCAUUUCUUCUUCCCCGAGAUACCGCACCGCUUCUGAUUGGCUUGUUAACCCAGCUUCCCUUUAGCCUAGUGAAACUCAUUAAUGGAAAUAUUACUCUCUAUCUUGCAUUAACCGAUAAGUAAGGCUAAGAUAUCAGAAAGAAACAAGCAAAGCAAAGAAUGUUUAUUAUAGGAGUAGCGCAAAACUAAUUGAAUCAGAGGGUUGAGCGGGUAAGAGAAGAACAGCUCCUAACGCUAUAGUAACUCGCAUAUGAAUUAGAGAGGAAGAUAGUAAUUACACUCAAGACUCCGGCAAGAGUAAUGAAACUCCGGACUCAGAGGCAGAGGCAUUGCUUUCCCUACCCAUCCCAUACUUGUUGAAGUAAGCUGGGCACCCCGCCACGAAACCUAAAGUAAGCUAAAUAAAGGUACCUCCGAAACUCCAAAACAAACGGCUAAGAACUAACAUAAGCCCUUUGGCGACAUAUUCACACCCCUAUAAACUCAGAAGUCAGAAUGGAAUCCUGCACAACAACCAUUUCAUCUGCAUGACAAACAACUAAUAGAAUGGGCUCUGCCUAACACAGCAUUGCUUCCUUGCUUGUGCGAAAGCCGUUGUUGCUUAUUUUCUUGCUUGUUCUAAAGCGCUUGCUAGUUCUGUGCGUGCCUCAAUUCGACCUUCCGCGAGGUGUACUGAUUGCCUUUCUCUUGCUGUUCCAGUUCAGAAGUUAGGAAAGGGAGUUGACGGAUGAUGAGCUCUGUUGAACAUGGUUUCUUCUAGUUCUUGAACCAACCCCUGUUAGCACAAAAGGUCUGUUGACUUAGUCGGUAAGGUNNNNNNNNNNNNNNNNNNNNNNNNNNNNNNNNNNNNNNNNNNNNNNNNNNNNNNNNNNNNNNNNNNNNNNNNNNNNNNNNNNNNNNNNNNNNNNNNNNNNNNNNNNNNNNNNNNNNNNNNNNNNNNNNNNNNNNNNNNNNNNNNNNNNNNNNNNNNNNNNNNNNNNUCUUUGGUUUCAUUCCCUUACUUGUUCAACUUGAAACUGAUGCUUGGGGCUAAUAAUAGAAUGCAGCUGCCAGCUCUGAGACGGAAAGUGCCAAUAACAGAAAAGAGGGAAGAAAACGACUACCUAGGAGAAUGGAACGGGGAAUAAAGAAUACAGAUAUGAUACGGCGCACCAACCUACUAUGUUAGAAAACCUCCGCCUCGAUAAGAGUUCCACUGCUGACUCUAAUACUGAAACAAGGAAAUAUGGUCACUAUCAGAUUGAAACUACCGCUCCCAACUCUAUAGCUCCCGUAUCUCAGGUAAAUCCAAUUCUUAUGAUCCUUGCUUUCAUUCCGUAGUUCACCUAUGAUCCUUACUUAUUAGCUUGAGUCUACCUCUACUCUAUCUCGGUCUGAUAACCUUGUAGAACCAAUCUGACUUACGGACAUCCUCCUCUGCUAACAAGCCUUACCCAACUAACAGGCAAUUCCACUCAUAAGCCUUACAAUGGAAAUAUAAGCCUAAUAAUGGAAAUCAAGAAUGGAAGGUGGCAAAGAGGGAGUUGGAAAUAAAGACGGAAUUGUCGCACCACAAACUAACGACUUAAACAGUGAACUAAUAGAAUGGAACUACUGCUAAUAAGAAUCCAAAUCCGAAAUCAGACUAAAGCUAGGAACUCGGAAGUAGACGACUCACUCUAAGACUUGAAUACUGCCCCCCUAACGCUGGGCCUGACACUACUUCUUUGAAUUCAGAGUUGGCUCCUUCCCUGAAAUUACUCAUUACAAAGAUGAAACUCAGGGCUCUCACUCUGAAACUACUGCCAAUAAGACUGUGACUGCUAGCUAUAAGAGUUGGAACUACUACUGGAAAGAAUGAAACGCAGAACUCAGACUGAUGCUAAAACCUAGGAAUUUGAGAAGUUAGAAAGGGCAGGUAAACAGCAAGUAUAAAGUAUGGCACAAGUGACUAGGGGUGCUAAAGGAAAAUCAAGGUCCGGGUUCCGUUUAAGUUUCAAGAGAGCCGGAACCAGCAAGCGCUAAGUCCGCAACAACAACAAGUGGUUCAGGUAAGGAAGCAGGAUCGGGAUCAGGAUCUGAAGCUGUGGAAUAGCAAGGUUAAGUAGAGGUCGAGUAUCCUCUCAGCGAAAUUCCUUUGAUAACAGAGUUUUGUUAAGUGGAGUAUCAUCUUCCAAAGAAAGGUAUGCUGUGCUAGUAAAGUAAACUCGAGAAGAGACUAAGAGAGAGUCAGAAUAAGAACAAGGGCGAGGCAUUCAAUAACCUAGUAAUCAAUAAGAUAGGUAGGCAGGCAAGGUAACCAGUAUGAGUAAGUAAGGGUGAACGGGAUAUAAGAUCUGUAUUUGCAAGAGGAGAGGUCUGAAAUGGUACUUUCCCUAAUGGAUUUGAAAGAUCAUAAGCCGGACCAGAGGCAGUUCGAGGCGACGAAAGUCGACCAGGGGGUUAUUGGCGGAUGGGGAUCAGUUAGCUUACUUUCGGUUUCCGGGUGCCUAUAUCCAGCUGACUUUCGGGUUCUUUGCGAGUGUGAAGCAUCUAUUGACUUUGUUGUAUACUUUGACUGAGCGUAAGCGGACCCUACAUCUACAGUAUUAUUCUUUCAUUCCCGCAGACCCUUAGUUGCAAGAGAAGGAUAAAGUCAAUCCAACCUUUCUCACCGGUCGCUAACGGAGUCAUUUCUGCAUUAGCUUAUUGGAGUUGUCGCAGUUAGAGCUUGCAGUAAGCAGUGUUAUGUUACUUGAUUCAAUACUUUAGUCAAUAAGUGAGUAAGGAAGAACAAGUAAACAAGUAGUAGUGUUUGGUUAUUCAUUGAUAUCCCAUAUGCAAGAUAUAUUAUUUGGAGUAUUGGCAACGGAACCAUCAAGAGGACCGCUCAAACGCAUCUGUCCUGGGCAAGCUACGACUACAAAGGCUAAGAGAGGAGACAAGCCGACCAAGCUACAUAGUAAGUAGACAAAGGAAGACAAGUCACUACUAAAGACGCAACUCUGGAUAAGGAGUGUUAGGCCGAGUCCUUUUCACAAUUCCUGUGUUGUGUUGGCUUGAUUGAAUGGGAACGGUCUAAAACUGUCCCAAGCUGGCGCCCAAUGCUUCUAAGCUAUCUUAGUAAAUACUGAGUUCCAUUCAUAGACCUAAUAAGUUGUAAUUGCAGACCACCAACAUCUUAUCUGGCUUCUUAUCCUGUUUCUAAGACUUUUGACUUACUGCCUUGCCUCUCCUUUACCUUUCAGUGAGGAAUUCCUUAUCUUGCCCGAACUCUAGUUUCAGAACAGCUUGCUGCUGACUGACUUUCUACUUAAGACGGAACCGCACCGCUACAUAAUUAGGACUUUGUAAUAACUCUACGGAGACUUGUUGAACCGACCACUGUCUCAAUACAGGCAUGACUCUCUAGUACUCACUCGUCUUUUCUUUCGUCAAGAAUUGCAGGCUUUGAAAGAAUACUAUGCUUGAAUUUCCAUGUUAAUCAAGGCACUGGCUUGCCCCUUCUCCAACAUACGGAGUCUACGGAAGAUCCAAAUCUAUAUAUGCCUACACAUCUCUUUUGAGUUUUCUCUUUGGAUUUCAUUCUCUCAAGAAUAAGGAAAGCUACAACAGCAGGGGACACAGCGCGUAAUAAAUGACAAGACUCACUUCCUUCUUUGGGAUCUGGAGAUGCUGGGAAUACUUUCAUUAGCAUAAUUAGCAGUCCCCGCGCUUAUGAAUGGUCCUUAACUCUGGAAUCUUAGGGCGCUUUUUCGCUUCAAUGGAGAAAUCAAGAUGGAAUCGUACUAGUGGUUCCCAUAUCUAUCUUCAAGUGCUCUAUCAGAGCUUACCAUAUCUAUCUUCAAGUGCUCUAUCAGAGCUUACUUCCAAAAUAGAACGAAAGAAGAUGACUUCGAUGACACGCACUGUCGCCUAUAAUCCAAGUGCAAAGUAGUGUUUCGGCUAUUCUAGAGUUUCUGUAAGGAACGAUUCCCUCUAAAGACAGAUUCCAUUCUCUUCCUCAUCAUGCCCAACCUGAAUGGAAUGCCAUGCCUAAGCGCCUCCUCUUAUUAAGUUCUAUUGAGUAUUUUGCACUCCUUUUUGCUUGCUUGUCCAGUCGACAUCCAACGCUUUACUCGAAAUGAGCAAUUGUUCUCUUUUCUCAUGUUAGCAAUGUACAGCGGUCAAAUAUGGUUUUUUUGUUUCUCGAGACCUUUGACUUUCUUUCAUGAUGUGGGCAAUUCCAGUUUACUUAGUUCUAUACAUGUGGGGAGUUAGAAUCAAUUCCAGUUUCCCUUAGUUCUAUACAUGUGGGGAGUUAGAAUCAAAAGAAAUCUCAGUUCGACUUUCAUCAUAUAGAAAUAGACAAUUGAAUAUUAAAUGCGAAGGUACAAAGCGCAGGUCCUAAAGUGAAAGAGUUCGGGUGCUUUAGAAGGCAAGGCCCCGGUUCUACAACUAGAGUUAGAAAGUGAGCAGUAGAAUAGACUCAAGAAUCACCACCAGGAGAAAGGGAUCUGAGGCAACAGAAUUACCAGUCACAGUUCUAGUUUCAUCAACGAGAUCAUCUGCAGUAAGAGAAUCCGCGGGACAGAAAUCCGUGUAAAAGUAAGCAACAACAAUUGGUUUUGAAUAAGUAUCAUCCUUUACAGAAGCCGAAGAUCAUACCUACGUAGACUAUGCGGUGUGUGAAGCAUCUCUUGACUUUGAUUCUGAUUUGGAUCCCCUGGACUUUAACUCAGUAGCAGUAGUGCUUGACUUUCAUCGUUUUUCAGAAGAAGAGAAAAGGUGUAGCGGUGAAGCAUCUCUUGACUUGAACUCUAUAGCAGUAGUGCUUGUCUUUCCCGACUUGUAGUUAAGGGUAGUGAGUUUUCAAUUGAAGUCGACGAGAUCAGAUUCCAUUGGGUAUCCGAAAAAUGGACUUGUUUGUUCAGUGCUCAAGUAAGCAGCAGUCAGAGUUGAGUUCGCUAAUAGGAAGGGAGUUGAAAUUCCUUAGAGUUCGGGUGAACGGGAAAGCAAAAGAAAGUCAACAGUGAGUUUUGAGUAUUGCAUAGCCAUAGGUGAUUAGAUAGGUGAUUGAUUGCCUUGACUUGGAUUAUGUCCUUUAUUCCGCGCCCAGCCCUAUCACUUGGCUUAAACAGGGGGUUACAGCAAACUACACUUGUGAACGAACGAUUGGCAAACAGGAAUGGACUGUUCGACACUUGACUCCCUUCUAUACCAACCAUGUACUAAAUAGAAAUAUGAAAUGAAACAAGCAUCGCUAACACACUUAUUGGAAUUCAAGCCAACAACUCUCAAUCAGGAAGUGAGAAAAAGUUGACUCCAUUAGAGAUUAGCGCAAUGGUAUAUAUAAGAGGAAUAUGACCUUCCCCCGAGAGGAAUAUGACCUUCCCCCGUAUCUAUACUCAAUGAGCUUAUGGAUACUCUGGACAGGAUUCACUUACCACAGAACUGCUUACCACAAAGCUGUUAAUGGUACUGCCGUAUCUUAAUCAUAAGGUACGCCGCAUAUAUAAAGAUCUAGCUUAUGCUUGAGUAAAAGCGCACUACAUCUUCUGUUGCUCGUUAGCCCGGAGUCCUGCUCCCAUGAAGGAGGACUUAGAUCCAUUCUUUCUCAAAACUCUAACAAACUACAGUAGAGCUGACUUUAGCGCUGACUUUAGCACUGUUCCUUGAUACCGCGGGCUACCCUCACUCCCUUAACAGACAAAGGACAAUCAGGCCAUUCACUUACUGCAACGUUGCCUUACCUCUUUCGGAGACUUGUUUUCAUUGUUUUAUUUCUCUAUUAACUGACAACUCUAUUAGCGGAAGUCAAUUCAUUCAUUUCCUCAUUAUUAUCGAGUCUAUCAGAUUGCUCCAACGCAGAAGGCAGGAACUACAAUAACUCCAGUAGAACAAGUCAAAGCUGCUCACUUACCCUAACGCUCAAGUAAUUAAUGAAUUUCUGACUAAUGGGCAUCUCACUCAUAUCUUAUAGGAAUAGUUUGAAUAGUCGUAAUGGAGCAGUCAAAAACGGAAUUCCGAAAAUGGAUUGUGGUCAGGUCAACUCGUAUUGCAACAUUCCACUCAGUUAGCGCAGACGAAAAUGGAACUUCUACUGAUGCGCUUGCUUUAGCAGUUCUCUUGCGGAUUCCGUUACUUAUUCUCUACCACUAGGGUCAGGUUGCUUUAUCAGUGUAGUUUGAGGUGAGGCAAAGUAUGAGUCAUAAGGAGUCAUAAGCGAGUCCCGUUAGUUUUUAUGGGCAAGCGUAUCUUCUCUGAUCUUCAGCGCUUAAAUCCAUUCCUGACGCAGAACUCGAUAACGGGAGCUUCAUAAGGAAAGACAAAUUGUAGAACCCUUCUUAUACAUAAAGCCAAUAUAACUCAACUCACUAAACAAAAAGGCUAUCUAAACAAGCCCUGCCCUAACGUGAGUCUUUACAGGGGUGUGCCGCUAUUCAUUCCUAAUGCAAGCCUCCGGGGUUUGGUGCCGAUAUUAAUUCUUCAUGCAAGCCUCAGUACGUUAAUAGUGUUUCAGUUUGUUUACGAAAAUGAUAGUUUCCGUUUGUUUACGAAAAUGAGAAUCAAAGGAACGCUUAAUCUUUCGCAAGCCCUUGUGCUACGGGCUGUAAGUGGUAGAGUUCGCCGUUUGCGCUCACAUUCGAUUCUUGGAAAUAGGGAUAGCGGCGCCUCAACUCGUUCUCUGAAAGUUGACUAGCUAUGAGUGAGAAAAGUAAGGAGUAAAGAGUAAGUUGACUCUAUUAUUGACUUUGUGCUUGAACUUAUCUUGGUGGACAGAGAGGUGCGCUUACGGGAGUGCCUGAAGUUGCGCGUUAGAGAGUUCCUAGCCCCGUAGUUGCUUAUUCUGUGACUCUUGAAAUGACUUACUUUCCCUUACUUUGACUUUUCUCUAUAAGGCGUUACUCUGUUUGUUAUAUUACUUACUUGCACUUACGCUUAUAGUAUUCGGGACACUUACGCUUAAGGGAGUUUCGUGGUGCCUCAAUGGAAGGGUUAGGUGAGUUUUUAAGCAAUAGUAGUUAUAUGUCAGCUCUUAUGGAAAUAGUGAGUGAUAUUUUCUUCUUGGAUUACUUAACAAGUGAGACUUUCUUCUUGGAUUACUUCAACUCGCCCUACUGUAGCAUGGUGCCAGAGGUAGUGUCCAGUAGAGUGCUUUUCAUAACUCUUCUUUUUCACCAACCUAUAAUUAAUAAGGUGCAUAUUAUUUCAUCAAUUACAUUAUAUGCAAGAGAUAUUAAACAAGCAAGUGUUGUGAACAAGCCAGGGAACAAGCUAGGUGCAAGAAUUCAGUACUCGAGUAAUAGCCAUGAGCAUGUGUUCUGUACUUGAGUAAUAGCAUAGCCAUGAGCAAGUGUUCUGUACUUGAGUAAUAGCCAUGAGCAAGUGCAUGAGGGAAAGAAAGUCAAAGUCAACAAUAAAGAAAUCCACCGUAUUAAUCGGUGCCUCCGCCUCUGUCCUAUCUAUAGUUUAGGGUUCCGCUGUCGUGUCGAUAUCAUCUAUUUGAGAACUAGCAGCAACCCAACAAGCAAUGGUCACUAAGUGCGAAAGAACUAACUAACGCAAAAACAAAGAACUCGGUAGAGUGGAAAUCGUUAGAAACUGAAGCGCUAACGCGAGCAGAAUCCCUUUGCUUAAAGAAUCGAAUGUAAAUGGAUCUUUCUUUCAUCUUUGUUGUAGUUCAUUGUAUGAUAGGUUAUUUUGUCAAGGGCUCUUGUCGUCGUCAAUUAUGUCUUCUGAAUUCAAGUGACUGAUAAAGGUCCGGACAGGGGAUUUCAUGGGAUUGGGGGGAAAAUCGACCCUCAGGCCUUGCCUUGGAGCGGAGUUGGCUGCAAAAAACAGGAAUAUAACUCAUACUAAUGCAUUAAGUAGCUAGCUCGCUAACGCCACGAAUACCAAAUAAAGGACUUGAUUGCUAGUAAAGAAAUGAUAUAGUGGCCAAGGGUGAAAUAAGAAAGUCGCUAACGCUAAUCUCUGUAAAUAAGAAAGUCGCUAACUGUGCCUAUUGCUAGAGGUGGAUUAAGGUGCUGAUAUUCAUUCUAUUACGUAGUGGACCUAUAUGAGAUGGUAGCAUCGGAUAGUGCUUUGAAGCGGGAAGUCGCGGGGUCGCCAGGCCCAGUAGGCAGAGCUCAGCUCACCACUCAAAUCGUGUAUUUCUUACGCCGCUUCGCUUAAAUCAGUUGAGUUCGGUUGCUAAUACCCUGUUCUGCUUGAAAGAGCGGGCCUUUGAAUGUCAUUUCGUAGGGCUCUAUAAUGAGAGAAGCUCCUAUCUGUCUGUUGGUCCCUAUUGCGGUUGUCAAUCAAUAACGUAUCGAGAGGGGGUAGGGUGCCAAUAUUUGUAGUAGUAGUGGACCUAUAUGAGAUAGUAUCGGGCUUUGAAAGAGCGGGAAGUAUAGAAGAAAAGUUAGGCAUCAGUGCGUAUAGAUCGAUCCCUAUUGCUAUUGUACAGGGGAAAGUCAAUCCGCUCUUUUAUAUCAGAGGUUGUUCUUUCUAUUCAUUCGGUAGAGGCAGCUGUUAGGUACCAGUUUUCUAUGUGAAUAAGAUGAUUUGGCCGAGCAAGAAAAAGAAAAGAAACCAGUUGCCACCUACAUCCUCACGAGCAAGCGCGUCGUAACUAGGAAAGUCGAUAACCGACCGUGCAUUGCUAUUGCCCACUACACGGUUUGGAAAGAAGAGACUAUAGAGAAAAGCUUUACCUAUAUAUCAGAAAGGUUAUUAAGUAAAUUCAUGCCCCUAACCCUUCUAUUCGUAGUGGCUCAUAUGAUUAGUUGACUUAUAAAGCUGCGAGUAUUGAGUAAGAUUACAAAGUUCUAUAGAAGUAACAAGCUCUAAAAUAUUCCAUUAAGAAAUGAUACUCUCAAAAGGAACCCAUACCCUUAACGACAAUUCUAAGUAAAGUAGAAAGUCUCCUGUAAGGUAGAAUGAAGCAAACGAGCUUAGGCGAGCACUCCCAUUCUAAGUAAAGUAGAAAGUCUCCUGUAAGGUAGAAUGAAGCAAACGAGCUUCUUAGGCGAGCACUCACAAAUGAAAUGAAUAUAAGCGCACAUAUGAUAACAUAAAGAAAUUGUUAUAUAGAUGCUAUAAUAUAGUAAGUUAUAUGGAUGCUAUAAUAUAGUAAUGAAUUCCAUAAGGUUAUAUAGAUGCUAUAAUAUAGUAAUGAAUUCCAUAAGCCUGAGAGUUAGCGUUAGCGAGCUCAAUAUACGUUGCUUGUUUAGUCUGAAUGAAGUGUUUUUACUCAUUUUGCUCAGUGGUGCAAGAGAAGAAUAAGGAGUACAGAGAAUCAGAUUGAGCUUUCGGGUGAAAGUAAGCUAUGUCAAUACUUUGAUCUAUACCAACCUAAGUGUUCAACAAUUCCAUUAAGAAAUUCCAGUUAUUGUUGAAUCCUAUACGGAAGAAGUUAUCAAGUAAAGUUAGGAGGCAUAAUCCUGUACUGGUUCUUAUGUCGGUACGAGUGCUUGUAAUAACUUCGCUUAUGUUCUUUCUAGUGGAGUAUGGUUUCUUUCUAGUGGAGUAUGGUUCGCUUGAGUCAGGUAAAGUCUCCAAUUCCAUUCUUGUUGUUGGCAACUCGAAUCUCCGUUCUUUGAAUAGAGGCACCCCUCAAACCUACCAGUAGUAUAAGUGAGCAUCGAACCUUUACUUCGCUACACCGAACCUUGACUUAACUACUUCGCCCCUUACCUUUGCUUUGCUUACCUUCACUGUACCGAACCUGUACCGGCAAAGAUUUCGCCAGUGCUGUGUUCGUCAACAAGAACAGGCAAUUAUCCACGGUACCUUGCUUCAAAGCCAGUACUAUCUCAGCCGUCUUAAUCAAUUCCCUUCAUCUUCCACUUUCACUACAUCUUCGUCGGGAGCUCUUAUUGGGGAUUCCUCGAAAGAACAGGUUAAUGCUUCUUAUCUCGGCGCUGCUUAAACAAUGGUUAAUGCUUCUUAUCUCGGCGCUGCUUAAACAAUAAUGGAAUCUCUCCACUUAUAUAAGCUACAGGUCAACUCGCCUUAUGAGUCUUGUUGCGACUGUUUGAAGCUACCCUGAUUCUUAUUGUGUGAAGUACCCUUAUUCUUAUAGUGCUAAGAUAGGAAUUGCAUCUUUCGAGCGCCAAGGCAAAUUCCAAUAUGAAUGGAACAGAUGUGCCAUAUUAGAGGAAUGUAACAAAAACUCCUUAUGCGUAACGGCUUGCAGAACUCCCUUUAGCCACUGAGUCUUAUCAAGCGACCCGAGUAAAGCAAAAAAACAUUUCCUAUAGUGUGCAGACACUGCUUUUCAUCCAAUAACUCUGUACUUUGAUCAACGAACUUAACAUCAACAAGCUUUUGAGCGCAACGGCCUUUACUUAAUUGCCUUUGAAACUUUACCUUGUAGUGGGCAUUCUCACUUCGAUCCCAUAUACGAUCACUUUUGCACCCGAAAGAGCGCCCGCAUCCUCAUUGGCACUUCACUUUUGGACCACAGACCAGACCAGGCAAGGCAAUUAAGUUCACGGUAGCUUCAUGAGCAAGUAAAGUGUAUUAGGGCUCAUGCAAGCUGGUUUGAGUUAAGAGUAGGAAGUAGGAAAAAGAACCUGAAUAAGAGUAUACUAGGGCAGGGGUUCAUAGAAUCCGUAAUCCAACUUAGAGGUAGAGCCAAGCUACUCCUGUUUUCGGCGGCAGUGAGUGAAAAGCUAGUAAGUCUGGCAAGCCUAACAAACUCGUUGUAGAAGUCCCUUUCUCUAAAGCAAUGAGGGAUUCUCACCAUCAUCCGCAUUAAUAGCAAGCUAGCUUAUUCUCAGGGUUUCGUGCGGGAGAUUUUGGAUUCUUUAGUAGGAAUAGCGAUCCUCCUUCUUUCGUUAGUAGAAAUAGUUCUCCUCCUUCCUUCUUUCUAAGAAUAGAGAGCUAUGUUAGCAAAGAAUAAUUCAUCGUUGGCUGUAUUGCUUUCAUUGCUACGAGGGAAUAAUAAUUCGGUGGGGAUUAACAUAGGGUCAAGGAAUAGUAUAAAGUGGGAAAGCCUCUUCGCGUAAGCCGAGCACGUUACCUUCCUUUAUCACCUCCAAUAAGAUUUGUUACCAGAAGCAAGCAAGACGAGGAAUCGAAGCUUCAAAGCACUUAGAUCAUAAAGUCUACGAGAAACCUAUUUCGUUUGGCCGGGUCUAAGCAUCCGAUGUGCACGACACGAAUCGUCUGAAUCUCUUAAUUGGCUUCUAAACAGCAGUCGUUAGGCUAGGCCGAGAAUUGGAAAAAUACACACCGCCCUCUUUCUUUCUUUUUUGUAUCCUUGGGUCGAGAUCCAAGAACCGAAGUCAUAUCAGUAGUUGGGUCAAGGUUCAAUUCCCCUAUCGUAGUGGGGUCGUAGCGUAGCUCCUAUCUUCCUAUGUGCAAUCUCUUUCUUCACUGAGGCCUGAACUAGGGUAAUCAUUCGAAGAUCCUGGACUAAUAGAACUGCCGGCUAAAGCAAUUGUUUGGUAUAUAGCUCACCCACCAGAUUCUGUGCAGCAAAUCCAUUUGAUACGCCCAUAGGUCGAACUUGUUACGUGUAAUAGUCCGAAUCUCAUACCGGCAUCUUUAUCAGAUUCUUUGGAUUAUGCGCAGGGAGUAGCAUUUCUCAAGCAAAUCGGGAGUUUCGUAAGUCAGCUAUUACAUAUUGCAUAAGUGGAGUCAGCUAUUACACAUUGCAUAAGUGGAGUCAGCUAUUACAUAUUGCAUAAAUCAAUAUUAGGCGAGUUGGUCAUUCAUCCCAGCAGACAUAAAGAGGGCGCUUUCCUAGUGGUCAUUUCUGUCUUUGGUACCAAACCAGGAUAUGAAGUUCUACAUCCCGCCAUUACGAGCAUCAGUCGACGACCACUGGAUGCCUUUCCUCAUAGGGGAUAAGCUUUUUGGUACAUUGUUGUUGACCUUGCCCACCGAUCCAAAUAAUGUCAGAGGAAGCGAACUGGUUGUAGGCUGAGCGGAUUAGCUCGUUAUUCGUCCUCUCUUUAUGUAUAGUUCCGGGCUUUCGCUUCUUGGUCCACUGACUACUUCUCGUUGGUCGGAACCAGCUUCACUUGUUUCUUAUAAGGUUGAACUACUGAAGGAUGACCGCCCCUACUACAAUCAAUAAGAAAAUCCAAAUAUGUAAAUUCUCUUAUUUGUAAGGGAUUGCUCGACUACUUAAGCUCUUUUCUUGAACCUGCCUAUAGACGAAGAAAGGUGGAAAGGGGGUAUAGAACGUAGGCGAAGUUGCUCGUCCGGAUCAUCAAUAGACAAUGGAUGGGGUCCCUCAGGCCUACAAUGCCUUUUGUUGGUAAUUGAUCCUAUUUCAUCAUUUCCACUAGCCAAGAAACCUCUGCAGCAUAUCGAUCUGAAACUCUAACCACUCUAUAAGAGAGUAUUUCUUUGACAGACACGUCAGCUGCUUUAUGUAUAGUAUCAGAGUGAGUCUUUCUUUUACACGUCAGCUGCUUUUAGUGAAGUAGUGUAUCAUCACUUUCUUAGCUAUUGUUGUGUACCAUCCCGACGCUAGCUGAACCUUUCCCAUUGAUCUUAUGCUUCUCUUUUCUUUUAGCUGAACCUUUCCCAUUGAUGUUUCUCUUUUCGAUUAACUGAACCUUACAAUAUCAGUGUAUUCUAUCGGGGGCUCUCAAUAUGAUCUCGGCACACUUAUACCGAGUUGGAAUCUAGAGAACAUCCGGAUGAUGAAGACGAAGUCCUAACCUAAGCCGGAAUGGAAAGAGAGAAUUGCACUGGACAUUCCACGCCUGACUCACUAGCCUCGUUCUUACUACCCUCCCUAUUAGUCUGCUCUUACUUGUUUAGAUUCUAACUAUCCUUACCUCAGAUCUGUAGUCCACUUCUGAUUCUUUGACUCUCGCUUGGCAUUCUUCGACUCCAUAUCCCAAUUCCUUAUUGAAGCCUAUUAGCCUGCCCUUCUUGACUUUCAUUCUGUAUUGGUAGCUUAAGUAUGCUUCUGGAUACAAGGCCACUACUGAACUCAAUGCCUACCGCACCCUAUAUCGAAUAUUGCUUCCCUUGCUUUGAAACUUCAACUAGUGCUAACAAUACUCGAACAAUCAACUAGGGCUUUCAUUACAACUAAUAGGAGCUGAGUUAGCUACUGAAAACAAGGGUCGAUGUAAUUGAGCUACCAGAAAGAAUCAAAACAUAUGACCAAUCAGAAUGUAACACUUCUGGACUAAAGAAGAAACAAGGGCGUAGAAGAAUGGAACUGCCACUUCUAAUACUCUAACUCAAAACAGGUAACUCCACUGGUACCAAUUAGACUGGAACUUACUACUAUCGGAAUGGGAACUACAUCUGAAUUCACUCCCUGGGGAGUCAAUCUUACUCACCGGAAUACAGCACAAGCCUUACUUCAUAGCUUCCAAGCCUUACUUUGAACCUGAAAACUGUUACUCCCCGGUUAAAGUCUGUCCCCUAUUCCCAAGAAAUAUGAAUUGAACCUAUAGGGCUUAUCGACUCCUGACUUAGGGAAUUGAACUAUCAAAUAGGAAUAAGGAGCCAGGCAACUUCGGACAGCUAUCGGAAGAAACCUAAAACGGAUUAGAAGAAAAUCACUGUUAACAGGGCCAUAGCUAAAAAGUGGUAAUCCAGCUCACAAAAGUAAGAAUAUGCUGACUGCCAACAAUACUGGAACUUAUAACUAGGACUUCCCUUACUAACUGGCAAUCCAAAGACCACUUCUUAGACUCGGCUACUGACCCACAUAAUGGAACUAGUGACAAUCAAAUCCGGCUUGUGGCUACAGCUUUGAAUUCUCUAACCACUGAUCCGGGGAUCCUUACUUAUUCGUUUCGAACUACCUCUCUUUGCUGUUAGCUUGUCCCUCUUUUCCUUUUAUUCUCGCUGCUAGCUCUUAAAUGCCUAUGCGCUUACUUAUAGGCUGACUUUAGUGUCUCUUAGGUUGACUUUCCUGUCUAUAAGGCUUCCUAAUAGAAGUCAAAUCAAUCAAUAAGAAAAUCCAUCAAGAAAAUAUUGAGUGAAAUUAGAACUUGAAAGCGGAAACUCCCCUCUUGCACUCUGGCACCCCAGCCUAGCAUUCCUAUAUACUUUAUUACUAAAAUGUCUGUUAUAUAGUUGAGUUUACUAGCAUAGUAGUCCAAACUGAAACCCCUUCCAAGCAAACUGCCUCUCUCGCCCUCCACACUGAAGCCCCUCCCCGCUAUCUAAGUGCCUUUUUCCUGUCUUGAAGUGUUCUCCGUGCUAGUUUUGGAGUCUGUCUGCCAGUAUAUGUAUCUGUCUCUGCUCUUUCUUUUGCUGCCCAAGGCGCCAAUGCUUUUUAGGCUGCUUUUUCUUAUAGAUAGAUAUAUACCGCCUACCUCUAUAAGUAAUAAGAAGCGACACUUUGUUUUCACGAACAGUAGCUCGGGCCCCAAGACAAAGCAAAGGGUGGAAAGUCGCUCCUCUUCUUUUGCCAAGGCUAAAGUAAAGAAAUAAGCUUGUUCUAUAUCUAUAACAAUCCUACGAUUGGCUCGCUCUUAUUAGUAUUAUUGAACCUUACUAUUAGCUCUGUACUUAUUGAAUGAAUUCGAAAAAUGAGUUUAUGGAUAGUGAGAUCAAAGAAGAACCGAAGACAUACAAGAGUACUUACUUCUGUAAGCGAAUCCCAGCUAACGUAAGCAUCUUUCCAGUAGUGCGCCCUGCUAGCAAACAUAGUAAAGCAUUAACAACUAUUACAAUAAUAAGGGAGAGUAUUCUGUCAAGAGAGAAACAUAGACCUAAGAGUAAUGACAAAUUCAUAUUCGUUUGCAAAGCAGUGGUUUUACAAGCAAGCAAGGUAAGUUGCAAGUACUAAAAGCAAGGGUGCAAAGAGCAACACAGAGAUGGAGGGUAGCCUCAUGAACUGCAGUGCCAGUCUAGUGUGCCCAGGUUCCAUUCUAAUAAAUAGUCGUUCGAUUCUUGGCAGCACUAGCGCUAUUAUUAUUUGUAGUUGCGAUAUUCCUUGUUUUGAGUUUGCAUUGCCUAUCUUCUAUUCUUUCAACCCUUGGGACAUAACGCUUACUUCAAAGCCAAUGCCCCUGCCUUACAUCCUGACUAUAUCUUCUCGGCCGGCCUCUCCUUUAUCUAAGGCUUAGCAUCCGAACUCUAUGUCCCCGCCCCUUGCUUGAAUUCUAUAGUUGCUUAUUGACUUUCGAGCAUAGGACAUAAGAAUAGAGAGGUGUAGAUCAACUCUAGGGUAGUACCCCAUCCGCUAAGAAAUGAGCUAGUUACUAUUAGGAUUGAACUGUCAAUGACAAGACUUAUAUCGCUACUAACGAGAAAUGAGCUGCUGACUGCACCUUGAACUAAGAGCUGGCUCUUUCACUUUUCUCUACUUAUGAGUUUAGGCGAAGACACUUUGAUUGGGCGAGUAAUAUAUAGUUUGACACUUGCUUUCCGCUUAACCUCAAGCAGAAAUGGAUACGUACUUGGAUACUUUACUUGGUGGACCUGCUUUAGACUCUUCUUCUAUUUAUUCCCUUGCUCUAAUUGAAUCUCUCUCGACUACUACUGGAAUGGAAUAUCUCUCUGACUUACCCAGACUACCAAGUUGUUAUAUAACCCCAUAUCCAAAAAACUGGAAUUGUAAUACGCAUUGUCAUAAGCAGUAGCUUGUUCCCUUAUCUUGUUCUCUUGUACUACUUGACCCAACGGAGCUUCCCUUUUGAACAGAAAGAACCACUUGCUCCGACAGGACAAUCAGUAAGCCAACGCACAAGCACUUCUGGAGCACUACUUCUUGCUGCUUCCUUUUUCACGGCCGGUUCUCUCGUCGACCUUUUGACUUGAGUUCUUUCCCGCAACAACUAAAAGAUGAAACUGUUCCUGCUCCACUGAAGGAACUUAUUUGACUCUUUCUCUUUGGAGCACGAGACCUAACCCCAUUAUUUCUCUUUUUUGGAUUCUCCUUAUGCUGACUGCGAAGUUCUUUAUCACUCUUCAAUUCAACAAAGCCCCGGCGCUAACAACUGAGCUGCACCUCCUUGAUUCUAUAUACGAAUACGAUGAAAGUGGAACAGGACGGAACAUAAAGAGAGAGACUCGUUACCAACUAAGAAACAUUCUACUCAGAAAUAUCCACUAGAAGAAUCGUUUGCUGCUGCGCCAACACCGUAAGUAAGGGUCAGUGAAAUAAAUGUUUUCGUUAAGAACUCGAUAAGAUACUGUAUACGCGAUCAAGAGUAGGAGUAAUAGAGAAAUAAAGAGCAUAGGAAUGAGAGACAUCGUAGUCAGAAUAUAGUCGUUAGCGUAGGCAGCCUCAAGGUGGAGGAAGUUAGUUUGAAUGACAAGGUAGCCUGUUUGCCAGCAGCUCUAUUUUAGAAGGCAGCAGUCGAUUCUUUUUUCACAAGCAAGUAAGGCUCCGGAUCGUUAGUCAUAGAAUAGGAAAAGGGGAUUUCAGGCUUCAAAGCGGCUGUGACAGCAUUGGGAGCAGUAGUAAGGUUCUCGGUAGCACUAGUUUUCGUUUUCUAUAUUCCAGGGGGGAGUCAGGAGUUCCACUUGUCUAGUAUACGCUUGUUGGCUCGCGUUAGCUAGUUUUGAGUUUCUAUUAGUAUGAAAGCAGUCAGUCAGCCAGCUGUUUUGUGUUGUAAUAGCAGUAAGAAGUAAGUCGUUUGGUUACCUGUUGUAAUAGCAGUAAGCAGUAAGGUUAAUAAUAAAUGACAUAAUAGAUAUAGAGUCGAGAUAGAUAUAAAUGUAUUACAAUGAAAUAAUAGUGGUUGACUGAAAAACUCACAUUAGCACAAGGAAGGGCGACUACAAAUAAGAAAUGAAUUACUCUCAGGGCUAUCUCUUUAUAAGCUAUUAAUGCAUUUGAAGGCCUGUUUCUAAGUAGAAAUGAUGGAUAGAUAUGACAUAAUAUGAGUUGACCAUGGCUUAAACAACGCAAAAAAGAAGUAUGCUCUUUCUUUCCUUUGCCCAGCACCUUGAUUAUGGCCUUAGUUCAGCGCUAAGCUGCUAUUUCUUGAACUUGGCUUGCUCCUGUAGCUGUAGCUCGCAGUAGUUCUUUGUGUUGCGGUAGAGUUCGUUCUAUAAUCCAAUCCCUAGUGCUAACAUGUGCGUUAGCUAGUUUUUGAAGUUAUCAGUGUUUAGUUUAGUGACUUUUUUCUUUGAAUAGCUUUCUUUAUAUUAAUUAUUGAUUAUUAUUCUUAUCUUCAAUUCCAUUCCACUCGCUUGUUGAGUUCAAAUGAUUUAAUAUCAAUGAAUAGUGAAGCCUCGGGAAAGCAUUACUAUUAGGAUAAGUGAACAGAGGAAUGAAUAGAAGAACACGGAAUACCUCAUUUCAGAAUCAAUAAGUAAAUGAAUAAAUACGAAAACCUAUGCUAACUAAACUCGAACUACAGGCAACCAGAAACUCAUUACUGCUUAUCAUAAUAGGGCUACUGCCUAACAGGCUUGCACAGGUGCUUUUAAUGCUGUAUCUUAUAGUAAAGAAGGAAACAGUGCCUAGCGAACCUAGCUCCUAUUCCUAAUAACCCGUCAAUUAGUCUGCGCUUACUUUCUCCUAUCCUGUCCUGCCUUGCUUUCACUCUGAUAUCGUUACUAACAAGAAUCAAACUAUUAAGAACAGGAAUUGAACUCGUUACAGGGAAUUCAAUAGUAACCCCACAAUAUUGAACUAUACUACUCAGAGGACCUAAACAAAGAAGCUAGUCUGCCUUUACUGGGGUGUAACUCAGCCCGUCUUUCCAGUCUCCCGUUGCUUUCUUUUAGCCUUGCCUUUCACUCAUAUACUCCUAGACCUUAUUAGCAAACUCAACAGUAUGAUGUAGGCGCACAGGGAGAUAUAAAAGAACUACUGCUAACAAGGCUUUCACCCCGCUCUGUCAUUGCUGCGAGCCUGACUGUGUGCCCACAGAAUUGCCUUUAGUAGUCCAAGAAUGAAGUGAGUACCUACUUUGUUCCGAGUGCUUGUGUAAGCCUCCCUCUUUUGGGUAUCUCCCUAACGAUACUAUUUUCUUAUGUUGUGGGCCUUUAGGGUAUCUCACAAAGCUAGGACGGAGUGCAACUCAACAGUAAAGUAAACACAACACCCUAAAUCUCUUUUUUGCUAGAGGAAUAGAAGGUCAAGAUAGACGACUUUUCAAUUCUACCAAGGGUUUUCAAAGGUUAUCGAGAUUAUAAAGCGUCCAGACGUGUAAGAAUGAAAGUUUGUAGUACGGGGCAAGACAAAAGCUCUUAAGUCAGAACUCGACUAGUGCUUUUAAGACUCUCAUCUGUAAUAAGGAAAUAAACUACCCCUGGCAUCCUUGCUUCUUAGGUGGACUCUGCCCCUGCUCUACUGAUAUCAAACCUUGCUCCACUAGCUCUCAUCCUUACUACCUUUGUUUGAACUCUAGAACUAGCACAUCUCACAAUGAACCAAGCAAAUGGGAAUUGAACUGCUACGGCGAAUACUUUCACUGCCGCUUACAAGAGACCCCGCUCCGAUCUUCAAUCUUGAUUUCCCUUAUCGAAUUCCUUAACAGCUUACCUCUAUUCCUGUUCUCUUAUUGAAGUAUCCACUACUGCUGAUAAUUCCCUAGUUGGAGUUAGGGUCUGCUGGUACUUACUUUAAGUCCAACGCUCCCGAUCUCAAUUCCCUAUCUAUUGCUAUCGAUUCCAACUUCAAAGACUUUAUCUCAGUCAAUACCUUUGACCUAUAUUAGUAUGAGAAUACUGCCUAUUGGUCUUACUCCUUGGGCACUUCAACUGUGUAUUUCACCUAUUUGGCUUACUUUGAUGUCACUAUCUCUGCUUUCAACCUUACUACUAGGAGCGAGAAUACAAUCGCAACCCACAAUACUUUAGCUAGUGCUGACAGGACUUGAGCUACUACUGAUUAGAAUGAAAUAACAACUCUGGUAGGAAUGAACUCGAAAAAGGGAAUGAAUUUCCUAAGUCCAAGAAAUGAAUCACUGUCAACAAGGUUAUAGCCUAUAACUGGGAAUUCCACUGGUGCCCUCGCAAUUGAACUCAAAAGUCAGGAUAAGGAUACCGGGCUGAGGAUACUCAUACUCAUGAUAAGAGUCAAGAAGAAAACUCAGCAGUCAGAUUUGAAGUAACAAGUAGAGCGUGGACUGCAGGUCUGUCACUUUGGGGUUUGACUCUUGCUAUGCGAGAAACAUAUAUGGG
rnacentral:lncRNA from 1 species